rnacentral:lncRNA from 1 species
GCAGUUUCGGGCUGUGAGAGCCGAAGCUCACUGAGAUGUGACGCUUCCUGUUGGGUUGAGAACGCACGAAGUCUACGAUGCUUAGACAAAAAAAUCUCAGAAACUAAGAAAUCAUUCGAAUCCAGUUCCUUGUUUAUUCACAAUUAAAACCUUAGUGAUAAAACAGAGGCGACGCGCGGACAGCUCCUGGAAGCAGAAACACGAUUGGGGUAAAAUCCGGCAGCUAUCAGGACGGGAAGGGAUGCUGCCCUUCUUUGCUUUUCUGGUCUUAUUUUAUUUUAUUUUAUUUUUAUUUUGUCGCGUGUGCUUUCGGUGUCGCAGUGAAGUCAUAGCCAAAUACAAUGUUAGGAAGAUUUUCCUCUAUGUUUUCUCCUAAGAGUUUUAUAAUUUAAACUCUUAGACCUUUAAUCCAUUUUGAGUUAAUUUUCAUAUGUGGUAUGAGUCCACAUUUACUCUUUUUCAUGUGGAUAUCCAGUUUUCUUAGUACCAUUUGUUGAAAAGACAUUCUGUGCCCGUUUUUAAGACAUUGACCUGAGGUUCGGAGAUUGUAAAUCAUUUGCCAAGAAAGGCCAUGCAGUUUGGGAGCAGCAGUGCCUGGGGCUACAGAAGACCCUUGCUUCUGGGACACCCUCUAAUGUCAUGCUUUGCAAGGUUUUGCUCUGUCCCUCUUUGAGCACCUGCUAGAAGCAGGUAAAAGAACUGGUAGUUUUGCUGUUUUAACUUAAAAAAAGAAUGAUUUUAGACUUACAGAAAAGUUGCAAAGGUAAUAAAGGGAGUUCCCACAUACCCAUCACCCAUAUUGCCUUAUGUUAACAGCUUAUAUAACCAAUGAAACUAAAAACUUAACAGUGAUACGAAACUAUUAACUGUGUUACUGAUUUUAUUUUAAUUUCACCAACUGUUCCACUAAUGUCCGUUUUCUAUUCCAGGACCCAAUUCAGGAUACCAUAUUGCAGUUAGUUUUCCUGUGUUCUUAGCCUCCUCUAAUCUGUGACAGUUUCUCAGUCAGUUGUCUUCAAAAACCUUGACACUUUUGAACAGUACUGGUUUCUGUAUACUAUCCCUCAGUUUGGGUUUGUCUGAUGUUUUCUCAUGAUUGGACUGAAGCUGUGGAUGUUUAGGAAGAAUGCUACAGAGAUUAUGUGCCUUUCUCAUUGCCUGGUAUCUGUGGGUACACGGUAUCAACAUGACCUAUCACUGAUCACUGGGGAACUGAUCAUUUGUUGUUUCUUGUCUUUUAAACCUAAGCCACUGCAAUAGUUUCUGAAAUUCCUGUUCUGGGGAUGCUACCAGAUUUCUGCUUCAAUAUCAUUUCCAUGCCAUUUGUUUUCAUAUACAUCUAAAAUGGCCUUUGAUUGUUUAUUGCACCAAGUUCAAGCUUCGCAAACUGGCAUUUUGAAGUCUCAUUUUAUCCAGCCAACUUUACCUUCCACUGUUCCUCACACAUUCCCUUUGUCCUCAUUUCUUCUCUCCAAACCACCAUUUCCAGUCUGUCCUUAGGCCAAGGCCCGGGGUUCCUUUAAUUUCUUGUUCAAGUCAACAUGAAGUUCCUUUGACUUCUUCACACAGCAGUGAGUUUUUCUCUUUUCUAAAUUUCUGGUCAGUUCCUACAAUCUCACUUUAAUGUGGUUUUACUUUUUUUCUCCAGGUGUUUAAUGUGUGUUUUUGGUCUUCUCCCCAAGCAAUGGAAACAGAGUUGCUGCUUCAGUGGUAGUAGUACUUGCAAUUCAAGUAACACUAACUUAAAAUCUACUUUAGACACAGUGGGCGAUAGUAUGAAAGAACCAAGAAGGAUUUCGGCUGUCCUGGAGCUGAUAAUGCUGCAAACAAGGUCUAAGAUUCAUACAAAUUCCGGAAGAUUGAAUGAAAAUCCUGCCUCCGUCUGGGAGUAUUAUUUAUUUGCAUAGCAUAGACAGGCCUCACACCCGAUUUCCUGAAGCACUGCCAGCCAGCUUGACUCACCGCCCCCACAGUGAUGCCCGAUUCUUCCAUCAAGGCUGGAACACAGGAGCAAAUAGCUUGAACAUACAAGGAUUAUAUUGUUCCUUCUCUUAAAGUUACCUCUGUCAUGCGCGUCCGUGUGAAGAUACCACCAAACAGGCUUUGUGAAGUUUGCUGAGGAGCCAGAUGCCUUGUGCUGACUUGUCUAUUUUGAAAGAGGCUGCAGAAACACUCGAUUCCACCUCAACCCGGAAUUCAGCUUUCUUAGGAAAGGAAAUAACCCCCGAAGCCUUUGCAACUAAGGACAUGUAUCCUUCAGACAAGUGUUUACUGGGCAACUUCUUCGUGCUGUAAUUGAGUGUGGCCGAUUGCUCACAAAGAUGUUUGCAAAAUCCCUCCUGUCCCCUAACUCACUUCUCCUUGCAGUGUCACUCUGCCAACUUCUCCUGUCGAUUGGUGAAGACUGUUUCUCCUCCCCCUUGAAUAUGGGCUGGGCUUGUAACUUGCUUGACCAAUAGAAUGCAGAGAAAUGAAAUGCAGCCUUCAACAUUCAAGGCUAUGCUCAAGGAGUCUAACCCUGUGGAUAUGCUGUUGUCAAAUGAGGGAGCUUCGAUUAGCCUGUUGAAGACACACAGACGACCCGACAGGCAAUACCAACAUUCAGAUAUGCAAGUUAUGCUGUCUUAGACCAUGCUGCCCAGGUGAACUUUUAGACGACUGCAAUUUGUGAGUGACUCUAGGCAAGACCAGAAGAAACUUCUAGCUAAAUCUAAACCAAAUGCCAACUCAGAAUUGUAAGCAAAUAAAACGGUUGUUGUUUAAAGACACUAACUUUUGGGGUGUUUUGCCACACCUCAAUACAUAACUGUUACACUAAUUAUUUUUCAUUGUGAAAUCUUCAGCGUCUUAUUCUGUAAUCAAACCAGAAUGUCCUUGCCUUCUUAGCACUUUGCCACAGUCCAGUGGGGUGAAUAGACAGCAGCUGCUCAUUUAUGCUCAUGCUCAUGUUCAUAAUUUGCAUUUGGACUAAAAGGAGCUCUGUUCUCCAGGACAGAACUAUUCUAAAGCUCUUCAGGAACAGGAACAGGAGUCCAUCACAGACAGCGAAAUCAAAAGCGCCCUACAUAGAGGCAUCCAGACUGAGAGCUGAAAGGGAUCUGGGAAAUCAUUUAGUCUCACUCCCUCAUUUUCCAUUCAGACCACAGGGAUGAAAGAACUUGCUGAAGUUCUCACAGCUCUGUAGUGGCACAGUCAGAACAAGGAUCCCAAUCUCCUAACUACUAACAUAAAAUGCUUUCAGCAUGCAAGUUGAGCAUACAAUGGGACAGUUUAAAUUUAAAUGGUGUUUUGAGCAAGGGGAGAGUCUAAUUAAUUACUUCAAAGUAUAAUUUUGGAGUCACCAGAAAGGCGUUAAAGACAAAAAAAUGCUUUGGAACCUAGGUGCUUCAUAUCUGAAAUUGGGGCAGGUACAGGUGUAUUCCUACCACUAAAGGGUCAUUAGUUGGUUGGGUAGUCCUUUAGUGUUCUUGGUACUAAGCACAAAACAUGGGUAAGAUGGUUCAAGGCUGGUUGUGGUGGCUCAUGCCUAUAGCCCCAGCAUUUUAGGAGGCCAAGGCUGGAGGAUAGCUUGAGCCCAGGAAUUCGAGACAAGCCUGGGCAAUAUCGCAAGACCUUGUCUCUACAAAUAAUAAUUUCUUAAGAAUUGGCUGGGCAUGGUGGCACACACCUGUAGGCUAUUUGAGAGGUUGAGGUGGGAGGAUUGCUUUAGUGUGGGAGGCUGAGGCUGCAAUGAGGUGAUCACACUAUGGUACUACAGCCUGAGAAACAGUGUAAGAUCCUGCCUCAAAAAAAAAAAGUUUAUGUUCUCAAAGUGCUCAUAAUCUAGUGGUAGUACAGUAUUUGAGAUAUUAGAGCAGUUUCUCCUCCUUUUGCAACUAAGGACAUGUAUCUUUAAAGCAGAAGGAAUGGCAGAGUCGUGUAAUAAACCCUCAAGUACCAUUACUUAGCUUCAACAACUAUCGACACUCUACUGUUCUUGUUUCAUUUAUGCCUCACCUCCUUCCCAUCCCCCACUUGAAUAUUCUCAUCCUUUUUUUUUACAGUUUUUAAGAUAACAAUUACAUAACUGAAAUGCACAAAUCUUAGCUGUACAGUUUUGACAUAUGGAUACACCUGUGUAACCAAUGACUGUAUCACAACAUAGAGCAUUUCAUCUCCCCAGCAAGAUCCAUGUGUCUUUUCCUAGUUAAUGCCUCUUUAUUUCUGAGAUGGUUAUUGCUCUGCUUUUGUUUUUCAUGUUAGGCUAGUCUUGCCUGUUCUAGAAUUUCAUAUAACUGAGAACAUACAGAAUGUACUCACUAGUAGUGUCUGACUUUUUCACAAAGGAUAAUGUCUGUGGUAUUCAUUCAUGCUGUUGUAUGCAUCAGUAGUUUAUUUUCUUUUUACUAUUAAGUAGUGUUCUAAGGACUAUUUUAAUAGCAUCCCACAAAGGGGGUAUGAUAUGUUCUAUUUACAUUAUUAUUUGGUUUGUAAUAUUUUAUAUUUUCUCUUGUGAUUUCUCCUUUCACUCAUGAAUUAUUAUAAUAAAUUUUUUAAAGUGUAUUAUAAUAUAUUUAGUGAAACUGUAUUAUUUGAUUUACUAAUGUCUGGUGCUUUUGUAUCUGGUG